GGGGGCGUUACGGAUUCGACAGGGGUAGUUCGAGCUUAAGUCGCGAGUCGAGGGGUCGGCCUCGUUAAAACGCAAAAGCCAAUAACUGGCAAAAACAACAAUUUCUCUUUAGCUGCUUA
rfam:Bacillus sp. FJAT-25509 scaffold5, whole genome shotgun sequence.